GAUGAACGCUGGCGGCGUGCCUAAUACAUGCAAGUCGAGCGAACAGACGAGGAGCUUGCUCCUCUGACGUUAGCGGCGGACGGGUGAGUAACACGGGGAUAACCUACCUAUAAGACUGGGAUAACUUCGGGAAACCGGAGCUAAUACCGGAUAAUAUAUUGAACCGCAUGGUUCAAUAGUGAAAGACGGUUUUGCUGUCACUUAUAGAUGGAUCCGCGCCGCAUUAGCUAGUUGGUAAGGUAACGGCUUACCAAGGCAACGAUGCGUAGCCGACCUGAGAGGGUGAUCGGCCACCCUGGAACUGAGACACGGUCCAGACUCCUACGGGAGGCAGCAGUAGGGAAUCUUCCGCAAUGGGCGAAAGCCUGACGGAGCAACGCCGCGUGAGUGAUGAAGGUCUUCGGAUCGUAAAACUCUGUUAUUAGGGAAGAACAAAUGUGUAAGUAACUAUGCACGUCUUGACGGUACCUAAUCAGAAAGCCACGGCUAACUACGUG
rnacentral:rRNA from 1 species